rnacentral:tRNA from 1 species
UGUCGCGAUGGCCGAGUGGUUAAGGCGAUGGACUCGAAAUCCAUUGGGAACUCCCCGCGCAGGUUCGAAUCCUGCUCGCGACG